CAGUCGAGAAUCUUCGGCAAUGGGCGCAAGCCUGACCGAGCGACGCCGCGUGCGGGAUGAAGGCCUUCGGGUUGUAAACCGCUGUCGUAGGGGAACAAAUGUAUGGGGGUUCUCCCCUGUACUUGAGUGAUCCUAGGAGGAAGGGGAGGCUAAGCUCGUGCCAGCAGCCGCGGUAAGACGAGCUCCCCGAACGUUAUUCGGUAUUACUGGGCUUAAAGAGUUCGUAGGCGGUCUGACAGGUCAGGUGUGAAAUCCCUCGGCUCAACCGAGGAACUGCGCUUGAAACCGUUAGACUUGAGGGAGAUAGAGGUGAGCGGAACAGAUGGUGGAGCGGUGAAAUGCGUUGAUAUCAUCUGGAACACCGGUGGCGAAAGCGGCUCACUGGAUCUUUUCUGACGCUGAGGAACGAAAGCUAGGGUAGCGAACGGGAUUAGA
rnacentral:rRNA from 1 species